UCCACAGCUGUGCGAUCACUUGUGCCUAAGAUACGUAUUUGAAACCAGGUUCUGUAAUUUUGUUAUUUUAAAUUCUGAAGGAGGACAAGUGUAGAUGGUUGAAUCCAUUACCUGAAAAGGUUUUAUCUGAAGUAAAACAACUGAUGUAUCAAUUCUGAACAACUUGGAGGUAUGAUCCUUGUGUUACUAAGUAUUCCUUAAUUUGAUUCUCUUUUUCUCUCUUUGGGUUUAUAAGCAAUUCAGCGAACGGUGGUGGCCAGUAUAUGAGCUAAAUAGUUUGUUAAAUUUUUUCUAUCUACAAUGUUCUACUGAUCUUAAAAAAUAAAAUCAUUGUAUUUUUUGAGUCUUACAAUUUUAUCGGUCUGUUGUAGAGUAGUUUUUUAAAUAAAGUGUUAAAUUUUCUGAAGGACAUAGAUGUAGUUUAACCUUUAACUUCUUAAAUUAUUUGAGAAGAAGAAAAAGGAUAUUAUUGUUGCAUUAAGAAAUUAUAUCAAAGAAUAAUCCUGGUUAUUUUUACUUUUUCUAUGCUUAUGUUGAUGCUAAAUCAUAGCAUAAAAAAUACUUAGGUAGUAUUAGAGGAAAAUUAUGAAUUGUUACUGUGGAAAUUUAAUAAUCUAAUGUUGAAAGAAUUGUGUACUUAGAACUUUAACUGUCCUUAUUUUGAGUUCAGUUCAUUUUAGAUUUAUUUAAUUCCUAAAUAAAAUCAUACAAUUCAGUCAAUUGGAGAUUUUGUUGACAUUAUUAAGUUAAAAAUUGAUAAAGUGGUAAUUCUCGUAGUUUAUUUGUAGAGAAAAUAUGUGGUGUUUUAAAAUUCUUUACGAAGGGACCAGGUAAAGCUUAAGUUAAUGUGGAUUUGAAAAAAAAAAUUCCUAGAAUAUCCCUGUAGUUUAUUGAAAACUAAGCCGCUUAUUCAACAGUUCUUUAUCAGAAAUGAUAGAGUACAGCUUUUAAACUUAGUAUCUCAGUAAUUAGCCUUCAUGUAGUCAUUUAGUUGGAUUGGGCUGCAGUUUGCUUUUGUAAUUUCCAUGAAGACAGAAAAAUUUAAAACGUACUAACUUUGUACUUUGUUGAGUAUAUUUUUAAGAAAUUGGCAUUAUUUUAGAAAUGCAUAUUUAGAACUAAAUAAGGGAAUUGUUACUAAAUUACUUUCGUGACUCAUACAUUAAAGAAAAAUUGAGGGAACCUCUGGUUAUCCAUUAAUCUGUAUCAUUGCAGCUACAGUACAAUCAUACAAAUUUGUACUAACUGGAUUUGUAGAAGGUUCAAAUUAUAGAAUAUCCCUGAAGAAAUCCAAUAUUGUUAUCUUUCAAGUUAAAGUUGAAUAAUAAAGUUCUGGAAGCGCUUCCUCCUAUUAAGAGCCAUCUGAGUGUGGCUACUGUGUCUGUGUUUGUAGCUAGUGGUGUAAUUCACUGAAUUAGCAAACAUGACUUGUAGUUAUACUCUGUGUGUAAUACAGAAUACUUGACAAAAUAUAUUUGAAGAUGCUUAAACAGUUGGUUAUUUGAAAUGCCUGUUGUCGCUGCCAGCACAGAAUAUUGUUAAAACUACGAAGUGCUGUAACAUAGACUGAGGCGUCUCCUAAAUAGAAAUCAGCUGCAUCCUGAUUCUAGUUUGGAUGAAGGAAAAAAGUUACUAAUGCAGUAAAGUUUAAAUUCAUGAAAAUUUUAUCAUAAUUGCAAUCAAGGAAGCAUCCUUUUAAAAAAAUUAGUCUUUAAUUCAGGUUUUUCAUUAAUUGUAGGAUAGUCUUAAUUAGUGAGAUUUUAGUCUGCAUGGACUUUUUAGGGGAUAAAGUAGACUGUUACCGUAUAGAAAUCCUUUCAGCAGAAAUCAACAGAACAAUGUACAUCGACUCUAAUAAAAGUUUUUUUGAAAAAGGGAUCCUUUCUUUUUGUAAAAUGUGUUAAUAACGUAGAUGCUGAAUGACUUUUACAGAGAAGAACUCUGUCUGUGUUCACGGAGGUUCGUUGCGUUUCCGAACUCUUUGGUUCUUUGCUUUGGUAUUAAAGAGUGGCUUUUUACACCAUAAAUAUUAUUAAUAAUUUUUCAGUUACUUGAAAUUAAAAGGCUUCGUGAUGUAGACUCCACACUCUCCUCAAAUGCAACAUAUACUAGUGUCUGAAGGAAAAGGCAGUGAUUCCUCGGUCUUUAAAGAGUGUAGUUCUUCACGCUUCAUCUUGUUGUCUCUGACACAUGUGACCUUAGGAGGACUGUUGACGAGACCCUUACCUGCUUGCUAACGUAUUCUUGAAGGAAGUCUCGGUAAAAAUACAAAGCGACAUUCUCUGUGUGCUUUAGUGAACUCCUUAGGUGUUGGGGAAUGUCUCUUUUCUGGAAAGAAUUAACUGGGUCUUAGAACUACCUUAAUGGCUGCUCAUAUUGGAUGAGGAAAAGCAUCGCCUUUGUUAGAUAGUGUUUCAGAGGGUGCGGAAUAACUCCGUACGAUGCCUCAUUUUGCUUUGUAUGUGGGACACAAAUGUUUUCACCUCUAAAAAGGGAUCGCGGGCACAUAAAAAGGAGAUUAAACCUGUUCUCAAGGAGUACGUGUGGUGUAGUACAGUUCUGGGGAGGAUUUUGAAAUCAACUAACUUAAAAAGCUUUAAAAAAAAAAAAAAAGCCAGCAGUGCUGUUGAAUUUCCGUAGCAGAAAGGAUACCUUCCAAAGCGCUAGUUCCUUGGCCGGACUUGGGUAAAUUAAAUGCCCUUAAUGGUUGUUUUUUUUUUUUUUUUUUUUUAAUUCAAGUCUUUAUUUUGAAAUCAUCACAGACUAGCACAGACAAUUUUAAGAAAUGAUGCAGAGGGGUCUCACGUGCCCUUCGCCCAGUUCCUGCAGUGGUGGCACCUUGCAAAACUAUAGCAUAACGUCACAGCGAGGAACUCGCCUCAUCUUCCUGUUUCAAAGCGCCUUUUGAGUCUAUCCACGUGGACAAAGCAUAGCACCAUCUUCUCUUUCAUUCUGAGUAAAGGACAGCUGUGCAUAACUGAACAUCUGAAAAUUGUUUUUAAAAUGAUGAUUAUAUGAUGAGACUGCUGUUACUACCUUAUGGGCACAAAGAUCCAUUCUAGGAAGCUGUUCAUCUGUGAAUAGUCGAUUCUCAGGGACUUUGCGAGGGGUUCUCUCUGUUUUUCUGCGGGGUUUAACUUAUGAGUUCUAUUGGCAAAUUUUAUUUUGCCUUUUAAAAAUAGGAGUAAUACAGAUCAUUUUAAGUUGAAAUCUUUGCAUAAUUUUGGUAAUUAUCCGUUAUCAUAAUGAUAACAUUUCUUGGGUGGUAGUGCAGCUCUUUUGUUAGAAAGACAAAUGUGUCCGCGUGUAGCUAGCACAUCACUCGUUUUAGAUGUUAGGACAGCAGUUUUCAGAUUUUACGGAUGUAGAGAAUCACAUGCAGAACUGAUGGAAAAUGCAGACUCCCAUCUCCACUCCUGGACAUUCUUCUGUCUUAGGAGGUCAGGGCUGGGGCCCAGGGAUCUGCAUUUGUAAUUCAGUACUGCAGAGAAUUCUGAUGUGCAGGGCCCCCGAACUGCACUUUGAAAAACCCUGCACGGGGUGUUGAGGCUCUGCAGCAUUAUAUUGUGGAAGCAAUAGAAUAUUUGUAUUUGUCUCCAAAUGUAUAUCAAGAAGAUCAUUUUCAUUUUUCAGAUGUUUGUUCAAAUAUGGAAUCACCGUUUUUCACAGUCUUACUCCUUAACCUAUUGUAACUUUCAGAUUUUUUUUUCAACUGAGAUAUAAUUGACACGUUAGUUUUAGGCAUACAGCAUAAUGAUUUGAUAUUUCGAAAUGAUCACCAUACAUAGUUACAGCUUUGAUUUUCUCGUGUUGAGGCAUUUCGAGAUCUCUUCUCUUAGCCACUUUUAAAUAUGCAGUACAGUAUUUUUAAUUAUUGUCACCAUCCUGUACAUUUUACCCCCAGGACUUAGCAGUUUUAUGGUGGACAUUUGUCCGUUUUUUUGAGCACCUUAACCCUUUGCACCCAGCCUGGAACCUUUCCAUUUCAGCACCGCAACUUUGUCACAGCUCCGCCCUCAGUGGAAAUUUUCAAACCUAGAGAAGCAAACGGCAUUUGCACAGUAAAGAAAAGAGCUGGGAAUGGAGAUUGAGAACCACUCUAAAAGUGCUGCUUUUGAUAAUCGCAUUUAAUCGAGUAGUUUGGAUGGGAUUUUUUUUUUUCCAUCUAGAGGCUUUUUUAUAUAUUUUUAAAUAUAAUGAUAGAAAAUUAAAAGUAAAAAAAGAAAAUUAUAGGAGUUCUCAUUGUGGCACAGCAGAAGCAAAUCCGACUAGGAACCACAAGGUUGCAGGUUCAGUCCCUGUGAGCUGUGGUGUAGGUCGCAGAUGCAGCUCAGAUCUGGUGCUGUGGCUGUGGUGUAGGCCGGCAGCUGUAGCUCCGACUGACCCCUCGUCUGGGAACCUCCACAUGCCUCCAGUGCGCCCUUAAAAAUAUAUAUGUAUAAAUGAAAAAGUAAUAAGGAUUAGGAGUGAAGUAGAGAGGGAGGAAACAUUGGCAUAAAACAAAACAAAGAAAAUCAGAGUGGUUUCUUUUUAAAAGCUUGGGAGACGCCUGUGAAGGCCACUUCCUGACCUCACAUCGUCAGGUGAGGCUCAGCUUCCAAAGCAGAGAAAUAGGAGAAAUUUUGGAAACACUUCCAGCUAAACUGAUUUUAAAGUGAUAAACGCUAGGCAAUUCAAAACAGAAUUACUUCAUUAAUCUAGAAAAUUAAUUUGUGUGCAGCAUUUUAUUUCUCAGAGGUGACAGAAAAAUGAGGUGUGACUUAGUCACUUGAUCUUUGAGUAACAAGCACCCUUCUGGGGAAGAAGCUGGGUAAUGAUACAUCCCUCUUUUCAGGCAGUUUUCUUGCUGUGAACCCGAAAGUCUGGACGGGCUUUCCUUCAUUUCCAGUUUGCUGAACCCCCUUUUCACAACUGGCUUAGUUGCAACAUACUGGUGUUUUAGGAAACUUCUCACCAUAAAGCCCAGUUUAAACACUUUGGUAGUUUGAAUACUGUCUUUUUUUUUUUUUUUCUUGAUGUGUGCAUGACGAAACUUAGAGUGAAUUUCUUACUUCAAAAUACAUUUUUUGGGAGUUCCUGUUGUGGUUCAGCAGUCUUGAACCCAGCUAGCAUCCAUGAGGACGCCGGUUCGAUCCCUGGCCUCACUCAGUGUGUUAUGGAUCUGGCGUUGCCGUGAGCUGUGGUUUAGGUCACAGAUGCGGCUUGGAUCCGGCAUUGCUGUGGCUGCAGUGUAGGUCGGCAGCUGCAGCUCUGAUUCGACCUGGUCUGGGAACUUCCAUAUGCCAUGCGUGCCGCCCUAAAUUAAAAAAAAAAAAAAAAA
rnacentral:lncRNA from 1 species